CUAGGAAUCUGCCUGGUAGUGGGGGACAACGUUUCGAAAGGAACGCUAAUACCGCAUACGUCCUACGGGAGAAAGUGGGGGAUCUUCGGACCUCACGCUAUCAGAUGAGCCUAGGUCGGAUUAGCUAGUUGGUGAGGUAAUGGCUCACCAAGGCGACGAUCCGUAACUGGUCUGAGAGGAUGAUCAGUCACACUGGAACUGAGACACGGUCCAGACUCCUACGGGAGGCAGCAGUGGGGAAUAUUGGACAAUGGGCGAAAGCCUGAUCCAGCCAUGCCGCGUGUGUGAAGAAGGUCUUCGGAUUGUAAAGCACUUUAAGUUGGGAGGAAGGGCAGUAAGUUAAUACCUUGCUGUUUUGACGUUACCGACAGAAUAAGCACCGGCUAACUCUGUGCCAGCAGCCGCGGUAAUACAGAGGGUGCAAGCGUUAAUCGGAAUUACUGGGCGUAAAGCGCGCGUAGGUGGUUCGUUAAGUUGGAUGUGAAAGCCCCGGGCUCAACCUGGGAACUGCAUCCAAAACUGGCGAGCUAGAGUACGGUAGAGGGUGGUGGAAUUUCCUGUGUAGCGGUGAAAUGCGUAGAUAUAGGAAGGAACACCAGUGGCGAAGGCGACCACCUGGACUGAUACUGACACUUAGGUGCGAAAGCGUGGGGAGCAAACAGGAUUAGAUACCCUGGUAGUCCACGCCCCCAAACAAUGUCAACUAGCUCUUUGGAAUCCCUU
rnacentral:rRNA from 1 species